rnacentral:lncRNA from 1 species
GGAUGCAGCGAACCCCCAGCCUUGGCCCGAUUCAAGGACUGUCCUAAGAGAACGGGACUGCCCCGCAACCCAGCGUCUUUGGUCCUCGGGGACCGGGUGACAGCCGAGCGCGGGGCAGUGGCCGAGUCCUGGCCUUUCCAUUCAGGCCUGACAGUGGGCACAGCACCCACAGUCUUGCUGAAAGCCCAGGAGUACCUGUUGGGGAGAAGGUGGGCUGGGGCAGUGCAGGGGUCACACUCGGGCUGCACCCUGAACCCUGACUCUGCACGACUCAGGGUCAGACCCAGGCCGGCCCCUUGUUUGACCACCUGCCAGGCCCGGGAUGGAAAGGGCCUCCACACCUGGCCACUCCCUGGGCUCCCAGCCUCCCACCCUCAUGGGUCAUUGAAACAAGGCCCCGUGGGCCCCAGCUCCUCGGGGCUACCUGGAUGGCACCCCACAUCUGCACGUCCCCCCAUAGUGGGGCUCCCCAGGCCAGCCUGUGGCUCUCUACUCUCUUGUGGGUCGGCUGGUGGGGUGGGGUGGGCAGGAGACCCCAAGGGGGGUGGAGCACGCACCUCUCUUCCCUGUGACUGGCCUUGUUGCUGGCUUGCACUUGCAGGGUGGGGAUGCACCUCCCUUCCCUCACUUGGAAAUGGGGGUGUUGGGUGCCAGGUCAGAGCCUGGGUGACCCGUCGGCAGCCACGGUCUAUGGGCACCUGUGGCCUGGCUCUCAUCCUCAGGUGCACGUCGGGGUCUUACAGACCCCCAGGGGCUCAAACCCCAGGGCUCCUGAGACAAGCCCCGAGCACCUGUCCCCACAGGGCUCCGUCUGCCAGGCUGCCUGGAGGGGCUCUGCCUGUUGGCACUGCUGCCAGACGGAAAGUGCCAGAGACAAGUUCACAGGGCAGCCAGGCCCCAACAAGUCAGGGCUUCUGUGCUGCCGUGCCCCAUGUAUCCCCCUGGAAGGGGACAAACCAACCCCGUCCCGUGUCUGAACGGACCGAUCGCACCUCUGACACCAGGAUGUUGGGGCCACACGAGGCCUUGAGCUCAGGCCUCUCGCUGGACCGCAGCCGGUGUGUGUGCCGUGGAGCCGCUGUUCAGUGA